CAAAGCUAUAAACGUCUGACUUAUGAGAUACAUUCCCAAAGUUCCUAGAGAACACUUCAGGUGCAAUGUAGCCCUUUGUGCCCCUAGCUGCUGUCAUUGAAACUGCACUUUGAUCCUUGGAACACAACUUAGCCAUACCAAAAUCUGAGAUUUUCGGAUUCAGGUUAUCAUCAAGCAGGAUGUUAUGUGGUUUGAUAUCAAAAUGUAGGAUUCGUUGAUCACACCCCUGGUGAAGAUACUCCAUCCCUUUUGCUAUGCCAAGAGCAAUAUCUUCCAGCUUCUUCCAGCCAAGAAAACUAUUUUUGUUGUCCGCAGAAGAGAUGAACUUUUGAAGUGAAUUUUUUGGUAAAUACUCAUAAACUAGAGCUCUUCGAAAUCCAUCAGCACAAAAACCAACCAAGCGAACUACAUUAACAUGGUGGAUUCUACCCAUUGUACCUACUUCAUUUAUAAACUCUUCCCCAUUCCCUAUGGAACUUUUGAGGACUUUAACAGCUACUAGAAUUUCAUUGGAUAACUUCCCUUUGUACACCGUUCCAUAAGCUCCUUCACCCAGCAGGUUCAUGAAUUGGUUGGUAAUUCUCUUAAUAUCAGCAUAAGUAAACCUUGUGGGCUUGAGAGCUUUGUAAUCCUCUAAAAAUUCUUUGAUUCUUUUUUGAUUGUUCUUUUCGGCUUUAUCUGAUCUAUGAACAUAGUAGAUCACCGCAAUAACUAGUCCUAGGAAAGAUGAACCCAGGGCUGUACCUGUAACUGCAAGAUAAACAAUCAUAGUUAAUAUUCUCUUCAUUUGUUUUAAUAACAGAGAUGUUAACAUGCACAAAUUUUACCUAUGAUCUUCUUUCUCAUUGUUGCACCUGUAAAGAAAAUAACAUUAGCAUCCAGUAGUCGGUGUACUUGGAUAAUUUGGAAGAAAUGAUGCUGAUUGAAUGAAAAGUUGGAAAUAGAGCAACAAAAUUACCCCCUUUUUUCUUAGAGGAAAUAAAAAUAAUAAAGAAUCAGAAAAUGUAAAAUACACCUCUGUGCUGUUUUGGGAUAUCUGAGCACUCAAUUUCAGGUUCAGCACUAUGCUUCAACUUGCAUAACUUCCCUUCUGCUUCGCACUUUGUACAAUUUGGUGUGGACCAGUUGAAAAUAAGAUCUCCCUUUGGAUAAUAGAGCAUUUGAUGUGGGACUAAAGAAACAUUAUACUGCUUGCCGCAAGAUAACAAGGACGGCGAGUCGCUGAUUGAACUAUGAGAGUUGAGAACAAUAAAACGACGGUCAGGAUCACUAUCUGCGCAGGACAUAUCGUAUCUCGACCACAUCCGAGAUUCUUCUGCGGAACAACUGAAUACUGUAAAGUCUUCUAGAUACUCGUAUCCGAACUGGAAUAGAGAAGCUGAUAAAUUAAGGUGCUGAAGAUGUUUUGGAAGGCAACGAUUUGGGUCAUAUGCAUGAAGCUUUUGUGAUUUGUAAUCAAUCUUCGAGACGAAGAGCUUCACUGAUUCUGGCAGCUCGAGCACCGUCUCGUUAGUGCUGGCGCAAGAUAGAUCAAAACCGGGAUAGCCACAAUCAGGGUGGCUAUUUUUUAGACGGAAUGGAAAACGGAUGAGUGGUCCAUGUCGAUGGCAGUUUUCUUCAGGGCACCCUGUGCGUGCUGCAGGUGCUGCAAACAAUACCAAGAACAUAAUACAGAAGGGAGAGACAACCAUAUCCUUUAACCCAGUAGCCAUUUCCUUUACUUUGGAUCGCUCUCUAUAUUGCUUAUUUAACCUGUUUUCCAACAAUAAUAAUGGAUUGACGCGUUUUCUGCCUUACGGAUAGAAAGUGUGAGGGUCUG
rnacentral:misc_RNA from 1 species